CCGCUAGAAGAUGAAGAACUGGUGGAGUACAUUCUCACCGGUCUUGGAGAAGAUUUUCAGUCUCUGGUUGCUGCUCUGUGUGCAAGGGUGGAACCGAUCUCCAUUGGGGAGCUGUAUUCACAGCUUCUCAGUUUUGAAU